GACGAACGCUGGCGGCGUGCCUAACACAUGCAAGUCGAACGAAGAGCGACGGGAGCUUGCUUCUCUCAAUCUUAGGGGCGAACGGGUGAGUAACGGGUAAGCAACCUGCCCUUCCGAGGGGGACAACAGUUGGAAACGACUGCUAAUACCGCAUACGAUCUAACCUCGGCCUCGAGGAUAGAUGAAAGGUGGCCUCGACAUGUAAGCUAGCACUGAAGGAGGGGGUUGAGUCUGGUGAGGUAGUUGGAGGGGUAACGGCGCACCAAGGUGAGGCGCAGUAGCCGGUCGGAGAGGAUGAAAGGCGCAGUUGGGAUUGAGACACGGCCCAGAAUCCUACGGGAGGCAGCAGUGGGGAAUCUUUCGCAAUGGAAGAAAGUCUGACGGAGCAACGCCGCGUGAGUGAUGACGGCCUUCGGGUUGUAAAGCUCUGUUAAUCGGGACGAAAGGCCUUCUUGCGAAUAGUGAGAAGGAUUGACGGUACCGGAAUAGAAAGCCACGGCUAACUACGUG
rnacentral:rRNA from 1 species